CCGUCUUCCUAAGAAACAACCAUCCUAAAUGAGCUCCUCUGUAUUUCCAUUUAGGUUCUUUCUAGUUUUCUUCCUGGGUGUUUCUGGACAUGAGUACAUCUCAUUGAAAUAUUCCCACCUCUACCUACAGACAAGAAAAAGGCUUGGAGCACCUCAGUCCACUGCACCAGCAGGACUUGAAUGCCUGAUUGUUCUUUGCUUACUACUUGAAGUCAACUAAAUAGAAGUUCAUCAGACCCUUUUAGAACACUUUGAUCCCACCGCAACCAAGGAAAUUAGCGAGGACUCCCUGGAGGUGAAUCGGUUUUGUUUUCUGGAAACCGCCAGAGGACUGGGCAA
rnacentral:lncRNA from 1 species